rnacentral:rRNA from 1 species
GAUGAACGCUAGCGGCAGGCUUAAUACAUGCAAGUCGAGGGGUAGCAAGAUUGUAGCAAUACAGUUGUUGACGACCGGCAAACGGGUGCGGAACACGUACACAACCUUCCUACAAGUGGGGAAUAGCCCAGAGAAAUUUGGAUUAAUACCCCGUAACAUAGCGAUGUGGCAUCACAUUGCUAUUAUAGCUUCGGCGCUUGUUGAUGGGUGUGCGGCUGAUUAGAUAGUUGGCGGGGUAACGGCCCACCAAGUCUACGAUCAGUAGCUGAUGUGAGAGCAUGAUCAGCGACACGGGAACUGAGACACGGGCCCGACUCCUACGGGAGGCAGCAGUAAGGAAUAUUGGACAAUGGACGCAAGUCUGAUACAGCCAGGCCGCGUGAAGGAUUAAGGUCCUCUGGAUUGUAAACUUCUUUUAUAAGGGACGAAAAAAGGUCUUUCUAGAUCGUCUGACGGUACCUUAUGAAUAAGCACCGGCUGACUCCGUGCCAGCCGCCGCGGUAACAC